GAAAAUAAUUUUCCAGAGUAAUUAAAUUGAUUUGGGUCAAAAUCCACCGUUUGGAUAAAAAAAGGAGAGAAUUUUUAAAUUGACAGAAUUUUAAGGGGUAAUUUUAAGAGACCAAUUCAAGAGAAUUUACAAUUCCACCCAAAAUAAGAAAAUUUUGCAAAUUCCUCGUCAUUCUUCACAAGCGUUCUCUCUCUCUCACGAAAAUCUUCAUCGCUCUCUCUCAACAACUCCAACUCCAUCGCUUUAUCUCCAUGGAUCUCUCUAACUCCGAAUCGAUAUCUCUCUCCCUCUCUCUGAAGAUUGUUUUCUGACUCGAUUUUACUCUCUCCAAACUUGAUCUAUCUCUGGUAAAUUCUACUCUCCCUUUUCCGAUUUAUCUCAUUUUUGUGCGUUGUCAAUUUCUCUGGGUUGAUUUUGCAUUUUGUGAUUUCAUCGAUUUGUGAUUUUAAGCAGUUAUAAUGAUCAAUUUGUAUUUUUAGUGUUGUAAAUGCAUAAUUUCAUAUGGUUUUUGCAUUUUGCUUUCAGGCAUAUGUUUAUUGUAUGUUUUGGAUGGGAUUAUAAUUAUCAAUUUGUAUAUAAGUUCUCUACAUGCA
rnacentral:lncRNA from 1 species